UACGGGGGGGGCAAGCGUUGUUCGGAAUUACUGGGCGUAAAGGGCUCGUAGGCGGCCAACUAAGUCAGACGUGAAAUCCCCAGGCUCAACCUGGGAACUGCGUCUGAUACUGGAUGGCUUGAAUCCGGGAGAGGGAUGCAGAAUUCCAGGUGUAGCGGUGAAAUGCGUAGAUAUCUGGAGGAAUACCGGUGGCGAAGGCGGCAUCCUGGACCGGCAUUGACGCUGAGGAGCGAAAGCCAGGGGAGCAAACGGG
rnacentral:rRNA from 2 species